AACGAACGCUGGCGGCAUGCCUAACACAUGCAAGUCGAACGAGACCUUCGGGUCUAGUGGCGCACGGGUGCGUAACGCGUGGGAACCUGCCCUUAGGUUCGGAAUAACUCCCCGAAAGGGGUGCUAAUACCGGAUAAUGUCUUCGGACCAAAGAUUUAUCGCCUUUGGAUGGGCCCGCGUUGGAUUAGCUAGUUGGUAGGGUAAAAGCCUACCAAGGCGACGAUCCAUAGCUGGUCUGAGAGGAUGAUCAGCCACACUGGGACUGAGACACGGCCCAGACUCCUGCGGGAGGCAGCAGUGGGGAAUAUUGGACAAUGGGCGAAAGCCUGAUCCAGCAAGGCCGCGUGAGUGGUGAAGGCCUUAGGGUUGUAAAGCUCUUUUACCCGGGAGGAUAAUGACAGUACCGGUAGAAUAAGCUCCGGCUAACUCCGU
rnacentral:rRNA from 1 species